AGUGAACGCUGGCGGUAGGCCUAACACAUGCAAGUCGAACGGCAGCACAGUAAGAGCUUGCUCUUACGGGUGGCGAGUGGCGGACGGGUGAGGAAUACAUCGGAAUCUACUUUUUCGUGGGGGAUAACGUAGGGAAACUUACGCUAAUACCGCAUACGACCUACGGGUGAAAGCAGGGGAUCUUCGGACCUUGCGCGAUUGAAUGAGCCGAUGUCGGAUUAGCUAGUUGGAGGGGUAAAGGCCCACCAAGGCGACGAUCCGUAGCUGGUCUGCGAGGAUGAUCAGCGACACUGGAACUGAGACACGGUCCAGAUUCCUACGGGAGGCAGCAGUGGGAAAUAUUGGAGAAUGGGCGCAAGCCUGAUCCACGCAUACCGCGUGGGUGAAGAAGGCCUUCGGGUUUUAAAGCCCUUUUGUUGGGAAAGAAAAGCAGCAGGUUAAUACCCCGCUGUUCUGACGGUACCCAAAGAAUAAGCACCGGCUAACUUCGUG
rnacentral:rRNA from 1 species